rnacentral:rRNA from 1 species
UACGUAGGGGCAAGCGUUGUCCGGAAUUAUUGGGCGUAAAGCGCGCGCAGGCGGUCAUUUAAGUCUGGAUGUUUAAUCCUGGGGCUCAACCCCGGGUCGCACUGGAAACUGGGUGGCUUGAGUACAGUAAGAGGAGAGUGGAAUUCCGACGUGUAGCGGUGAAAUGCGUAGAUAUGUGGAGGAACACCAGUGGCGAAAGGCGACUCUCUGGGCUGUAACUGACGCUGAGGCGACGAAAGCGUGGGGAGCAAACAGG